rnacentral:lncRNA from 1 species
UUUUUUUUUAGAGUUUACAGAGAUGAAGGGACCUGUGCGUCAUCAUCAAGAGGACCAGCAUAUGUGUUUUGGGAGUUUUAGAUGACAAAGAGAGGGGCAGAAAUAAUAUUUGAAAAAUUAUAGCCAGAAACUUCCAAAAUUUUAUUAAAUAUAGUAACCUACAAAUCCAAGAAACUGAAUGAACUCCAAGCUGGAUAAACUCAAAAAGACCCACACUUAAGAUAUUUUAACCAACCCAUCAAAAGCCAGAGGUAGAGAGAGAAUCUUGAAAGCAGCAAACAAGAAAAAAGUAACUCAUCACAUAUAAGGAAUCCUCAUUAAAAUUAAAGGCCAGUUUCUUAUCAGAAAACAUGGAAGCCAGAAGACAGUGGAGUGACAUAUUUAAGUGGGUGAAAGAAAAUGAAACCUAUUAACUGAAAUUUUAUAUCUAGCAAAACUGUCCUUCAAAAUGAUGGAAAAGUUAGGAUAUAUUCAGAUAAACAAAAGUUGAGUUCAACGUUUCCUUCCAACAAGAAAUGCAAAGGAAGUCUUUCAAGUUGAAAUGAAAAGACACUAGCCAGCAAUUCAAAGCCAUGUUAAGAAAAUAAAGGCCUACAGUAAAGAAAAUAGAAGAGGAAAGAACACUUUCUAACUUUUUCUGUGAGGUCAGCAUUACCCUGAUACCAAAGUCAGAUAAAGACAUCACAAAAAAGUGCACACCAAUAUCCCUUCUGAAUAUUGAAGCAAAAAUCUUCAACAAAGCACUAGCAAACUGAAUCCAACAACAUACUUAAAAGACAAACAACACGAUUUAAAAAUGGACAAAAGACUUGCAUAGACACUUCUCAAAAAAAUGUACAAAUGGCUAAUAAGCACAUGAAAAGAUGUUCAACAUCCUUAGUUAUUAGGGUAAUGCAAAUCAAAACAACAAUGAUGUACCAUUUCACACUUACUAGGAUAGCUGUAAGAUUAAGAAAAAAAAAAACAAAAUAUCCAAACAGAAAAUAACAAGUGUUGACAAGGAUGUGGAGAAAUUGGAACAUUUGCACAUUACUGGUGGGAAUGUAAAAUGGUGCAACCACUGUGGAAACCAGCAUGGCAGUUUUUCAAAAGGCUAACCAUAGAAUGACCAUACAACCCAGCAGUUUGGCUCUGAGAUAUACACCCCAAAUAACUGAAAACAGAGACUCAAGAGAUAUUUGUACAUGAACGUUUGUUGUGACCUUCUUCAUAAUAGCCAAAAGGUGGAAACAACCCAAGUGUUCAUCAACCAAGAAAUGGAUAAACAAAAUAUUUUAUACACAUACAGUGGGAUAUUAUUCAGCCAUGAAAAAAAUCAAGUUUUGAUAUAUGCUACUACAUGGAUGAGCCUUGAAAACAUUAUACUAAGUGAAAUAAGCCAGAGAAAUGACAAAGUAUUGUAUAAUUCCACUUAUAUGAAAUAUCUAGAAGAGGCAAAUUUAUAGAGACAGAAAAUAGGUUAAAGGUGGAGGGGAUAAGGGAGUGUUAUUGCUUAAUGGUUAUUGAAUUUGUUUUGGGUGCUGGAAAAGCUUCAUUAACAGAUAGUGGUGGUGUUUGCACAAUAGCAUGUAUGCAAUUAAUGCCACUGAACUGUACCCUUAAAAUGGUUAAAAUGUCAUACUUUGUGUUGUGUAUAUGUUAUCAUAAUAAAAAAAGAAAUGAUUCGGUGUAUAUUUUUAAAUUACGGUGUUUUGCUGAAGACAGGAAUAAUGUUGGCAGAAAAGGCAAAUGUAUUGCUUCCUUUUUUAGAGACUUUAAUUAUUUGUAGGUAGACAAUAUUCUUACAGGUAAUUAAAGUAUGCUUAGUUGUCUUUUUAAAAAUACCACAUUUUAGUUCAUUUGAAAAGGAACUGAGUAAUCUUGAUAGAUUAUCAUACACCUAGUUGAUGAAAUAUUUUGUAACCACGAAAAUGGUAACUGUUAAGAGUUAUCAUUAACAGGAAAAAUAGGAGAAGAUUGCUGGAAGUAAUCUCUCUGCUAUACCUAUUAGGUUUGUUGUCUCAGCUGGGGCCUGACGGCUUUCCUUUUACUUUUCCAAUUAG